rnacentral:tRNA from 1 species
GCCUGGGUAGCUCAGUCAGUUAAGCAUCUGACUUCUGCUCAGGUCAUGAUGGUUUGUGGGUUUGAGCCCCACGUUGGGCU